CCUACGGGAGGCAGCAGUGGGGAAUAUUGGACAAUGGGGGCAACCCUGAUCCAGCCAUGCCGCGUGUGUGAAGAAGGCCCUCGGGGUGUAAAGCACUUUCAGUGAGGAAGAACGCCUGGUGGUUAAUACCCAUCAGGAAAGACAUCACUCACAGAAGAAGCACCGGCUAACUCCGUGCCAGCAGCCGCGGUAAUACGGAGGGUGCGAGCGUUAAUCGGAAUUACUGGGCGUAAAGCGCGCGUAGGUGGCUUGAUAAGCCGGUUGUGAAAGCCCCGGGCUCAACCUGGGAACGGCAUCCGGAACUGUCAAGCUAGAGUGCAGGAGAGGAAGGUAGAAUUCCCGGUGUAGCGGUGAAAUGCGUAGAGAUCGGGAGGAAUACCAGUGGCGAAGGCGGCCUUCUGGACUGACACUGACACUGAGGUGCGAAAGCGUGGGUAGCAAACAGGAUUAGAUACCCGUGUAGUC
rnacentral:rRNA from 1 species